UGCGAAUGCUGACAUGAGUAACGUAAAAUAAGUGAGAUUCUUAUUGGCCGAAUACCCAAGGAUUCCUACGCAAUGUUAAUCAACGUAGGGUAAGCCGGCACCUAAGGCGUAGCUGAAGAGUGAAGUCGAUGGAAAACAGGUUAAUAUUCCUGUGCUGCUUAUAUGAAUGAUGGAGGGACGGAGAAGGCUAGGUAGGCCCGGCGAAUGGUUGUCCGGGUGAAAGUAAGUAGGUAGAUAUGCUAGGUAAAUCCGGUGUAUUGUUGAUCUGAGAUACGAGACGAAGUCAAACUUGUUUGACGAAGCUAUUGAUGCCAUGCUUCCAGGAAAAUCUUCUAAGUAUAUUGUAUAGGUAACCGUACUGUAAACCGACACUGGUGGGUAGGUAGAGAAUACUAAGGCUAUGAGACAACUCUGGUGAAGGAACUAGGCAAAAUAACACCGUAACUUUGGAAGAAGGUGUGCCCAUGUUAUGUGAAGGGACUUGCUCCUGGAGCAGAGAUGGGUUGCAAUUAUCAGGUGGCUGCGACUGUUUAUCAAAAACACAGCACUCUGCGAAAUCGUAAGAUGAAGUAUAGGGUGUGACGCCUGCCCGGUGCUGGAAGGUUAAUUGAAGUGGUUAGCGCAAGCGAAGCUGUGGAUCGAAGCCCCAGUAAACGGCGGCCGUAACAAUAACGGUCCUAAGGUAGCGAAAU
rnacentral:rRNA from 1 species